rnacentral:rRNA from 1 species
UAGGGAAUCUUCGGCAAUGGGGGCAACCCUGACCGAGCAACGCCGCGUGAGUGAAGAAGGUUUUCGGAUCGUAAAGCUCUGUUGUAAGUCAAGAACGAGUGUGAGAGUGGAAAGUUCACACUGUGACGGUAGCUUACCAGAAAGGGACGGCUAACUACGUGCCAGCAGCCGCGGUAAUACGUAGGUCCCGAGCGUUGUCCGGAUUUAUUGGGCGUAAAGCGAGCGCAGGCGGUUUGAUAAGUCUGAAGUUAAAGGCUGUGGCUCAACCAUAGUUCGCUUUGGAAACUGUCAAACUUGAGUGCAGAAGGGGAGAGUGGAAUUCCAUGUGUAGCGGUGAAAUGCGUAGAUAUAUGGAGGAACACCGGUGGCGAAAGCGGCUCUCUGGUCUGUAACUGACGCUGAGGCUCGAAAGCGUGGGAAGCGAACAGGAUUAGAUACCCUGGUAGUCCACGCCGUAACGAUGAGUGCUAGGUGUUGGAUCCUUUCCGGGAUUCAGUGCCGCAGCUAACGCAUUAAGCACUCCGCCUGGGGGAGUACGACCGCAAGGUU